rnacentral:rRNA from 1 species
UACAGAGGUCCCAAGCGUUGUUCGGAUUCACUGGGCGUAAAGGGUGCGUAGGCGGUCGGGUAAGUUUGAUGUGAAAUCUCCGGGCUUAACCCGGAAACUGCAUUGAAUACUAUUCGGCUUGAGGUCUGGAGGGGGGACUGGAAUUCUCGGUGUAGCAGUGAAAUGCGUAGAUAUCGAGAGGAACACCAGUGGCGAAGGCGAGUCCCUGGACAGGUCCUGACGCUGAGGCACGAAAGCCAGGGGAGCAAACGGG